UACGUAGGGCGCAAGCGUUAUCCGGCGUUAUUGGGCGUAAAGAGCUCGUAGGCGGUUUGUCGCGUCUGCCGUGAAAGUCCGGGGCUCAACUCCGGAUCUGCAGUGGGUACGGGCAGACUAGAGUGUGGUAGGGGAGACUGGAAUUCCUGGUGUAGCGGUGAAAUGCGCAGAUAUCAGGAGGAACACCGAUGGCGAAGGCGGCUCUCUGGGACGGUACUGACGCUGAGACGCGAAAGCGUGGGGAGCGAACAGG
rnacentral:rRNA from 1 species